CGUAGCUCAGUUGGUUAGAGCGGUGGAAUCAUAAUCCAUGUGUCGUAAGUUCGAGUCUUACCGGAGCCACCA
rnacentral:tRNA from 1 species